rnacentral:rRNA from 1 species
UACAGAGGUCCCAAGCGUUGUUCGGAUUCAUUGGGCGUAAAGGGUGCGUAGGCGGCGCGGUAAGUCGGGUGUGAAAUCUCGGAGCUUAACUCCGAAACUGCAUUCGAUACUGCCGUGCUUGAGGACUGGAGAGGAGACUGGAAUUUACGGUGUAGCGGUGAAAUGCGUAGAUAUCGUAAGGAAGACCAGUGGCGAAGGCGGGGUCUCUGGACAGUUCCUGACGCUGAGGCACGAAGGUCAGGGGGAGCAAACGGG